rnacentral:misc_RNA from 1 species
AGCAACCGCGGUAAUUCCAGCUCCAAUAGCGUAUAUUAAAGUUGCUGCAGUUAAAAAGCUCGUAGUUGAAUUUCGGGACCAAUAUGUCGGUCGUGCCUCGGUACGUACUGGCAUCGUUGGUUUCUCCUUUCUGAAGAAUCAUGAUGUCAUUUAUUUGGUGUCGUGGGGAAUCAGGACUGUUACUUUGAAAAAAUUAGAGUGUUUAGAGCAGGCUCACGCUUGAAUACAUUAGCAUGGAAUAAUGAAAUAGGACGUUUGAUUCUAUUUUGUUGGUUUCUAGGAUCGACGUAAUGAUUAAUAGGGAUAGUUGGGGGCAUUAGUAUUCAAUUGUCAGAGGUGAAAUUCUUGGAUUUAUUGAAGACUAACUACUGCGAAAGCACUUGCCAAGGAUGUUUUCAUUAAUCAAGAGCGAAAGUUAGGGGAUCGAAGACGAUCAGAUACCGUCGUAGUCUUAACCAUAAACUAUGCCGACUAGGGAUCGGAUGAUGUUAAUUUUUUAAUGACUCAUUCGGCGCCUUAC